UACGAAGGGGGCUAGCGUUGCUCGGAAUUACUGGGCGUAAAGCGCACGUAGGCGGACUAUUAAGUCAGGGGUGAAAUCCCGGGGCUCAACCCCGGAACUGCCUUUGAUACUGGUAGUCUCGAGUCCGGAAGAGGUGAGUGGAAUUCCGAGUGUAGAGGUGAAAUUCGUAGAUAUUCGGAAGAACACCAGUGGCGAAGGCGACACACUGGCCCAAUACUGACGCUGAGGCUCGAAAGCGUGGGGAGCAAACAGG
rnacentral:rRNA from 1 species